AAACCAGCUUUUCCUUUAUGACUGAAGUGAUAGUCAUAAUUUUUUAAAAGACUUAUACAAUCACUCAUGUCUUUCAGGAGUGGAACGAAGAAGAGCUUGAGAAGGAGCUUUUCUGAAGGAGAAGAAGGAAGUAAUUAUUUAAGAAUACUGCAAGGAUCCAUUCCCAGAAUAAAAGCAUACAUUGACAGUCUAAGCUGGGAAACUAAAUUUCCAUGAUUUGCAUUCUUGCCUUUUUCACCAAAGUUUAAAAACAUCAAAUGAUCAUGGAAGGUCUGACAAAAGAAGAGAGUCAGAAGGUUGA
rnacentral:lncRNA from 10 species